rfam:Picea glauca, whole genome shotgun sequence.
CCCUUAACCUUCUAAAUCAUCGACCCAUAACCUAUAACCCUUCUAAAGACGCAAUGUGAUUUAUUCUCAUUGGUUUGCAUGUCAAAGUGAAGAAAUGCAACCAAGCGUGGGUAAGCGACGGGAGUAACUAUGACUAUCUUAAGGUAGUCAGAUGCCUUGUCAUCUAAUUAGUGACAUGCAUGAAUAGAUUAUUAACGUGAUUCCCCACUAUCCCUAGCUACUAUAUUCUAGAGAAACCACAUCCAAGGGAAUGGGCUUAGCAGAAUUAGCGAGGAAAGAAGACCUUCAUAUUGAGCUAGACCCUAGUCCUAACCCAUUAAUAGUUUGGGAAAAUUAGGGCAUAGU